rnacentral:rRNA from 1 species
GUGAGGAAUUUUCCGCAAUGGGCGAAAGCCUGACGGAGCAAUGCCGCGUGAAGGAUGAAGGCCUAUGGGUUGUAAACUUCUUUUCUCAGAAAAGAAUUAUGACGGUAUCUGAGGAAUAAGCAUCGGCUAACUCUGUGCCAGCAGCCGCGGUAAGACAGAGGAUGCAAGCGUUAUCCGGAAUGAUUGGGCGUAAAGCGUCUGUAGGUUGUUUAAAAAGUAUUCUGUCAAAGAUUAGGGCUUAACCCUAGAUAGGCAGAAUAAACUUUUAAGCUAGAGUUUGGUAGAGGCAGAGGGAAUUCCCGGUGGAGCGGUGAAAUGGGUAGAUAUCGGGAGGAACACCAAAGGCGAAGGCACUCUGCUGGGCCAAUACUAACACUGAGAGACGAAAGCGAGGGGAGCAAAUGGGAUUAGAUACCCGUGUAGUCC